rnacentral:rRNA from 1 species
CGGUGUUUAACUGGCGUGAUGUGGGACGUCCUACCGGUGGGCUUAGCCUCGCGAGGGGCGGCCCAACUAAUAUCCCGUCGCGGUGCUCUUUACUGAGUGUCGAGUCGGGCCGGUACGUUUACUUUGAACAAAUUAGAGUGCUUAAAGCAGGCUAUCCUCGCCUGAAUACUGCGUGCAUGGAAUAAUGGAAUAGGACCUCGGCUCUAUUUUGUUGGUUUUCGGAACCCCGAGGUAAUGAUUAAUAGGGACAGAUGGGGGCAUUCGUAUUGCGACGUUAGAGGUGAAAUUCUUGGAUCGUCGCAAGACGGACAGAAGCGAAAGCAUUUGCCAAAAAUGUUUUCAUUAAUCAAGAACGAAAGUUAGAGGUUCGAAGGCGAUCAGAUACCGCCCUAGUUCUAACCAUAAACGAUGCCAGCUAGCGAUCCGCCGAAGUUCCUCCGAUGACUCGGCGGGCAGCUUCCGGGAAACCAAAGCUUUUGGGUUCCGGGGGAAGUAUGGUUGCAAAGCUGAAACUUAAAGGAAUUGACGGAAGGGCACCACCAGGAGUGGAGCCUGCGGCUUAAUUUGACUCAACACGGGAAACCUCACCAGGCCCAGACACCGGAAGGAUUGACAGAUUGAUAGCUCUUUCUUGAUUCGGUGGGUGGUGGUGCAUGGCCGUUCUUAGUUGGUGGAGCGAUUUGUCUGGUUAAUUCCGAUAACGAACGAGACUCUAGCCUGCUAAAUAGGCGUACCUUAUGGUAUCGCGAAGGCCCCCGGCUUCGGCCGGUGGGUUUUUACUACCAACGUACAAACAAAUCUUCUUAGAGGGACAGGCGG